ensembl:snRNA U2 U2 spliceosomal RNA
CUUGCUUGCCAGCCUUUUGGCUGAGAUCAAGUGUAGUAUCAGUUCUGAUCAAUAUAAUAUCUGAAGACAAUAUAUUAAAUGCAUUUUUGGAGCAGGGAGAUGGACUAGGAGCUUCCUCUAUCCACUGCGUGCAUUGACCUGGCAUGGCAGUAGCAGGAACCGUGCACCCUCC